rnacentral:misc_RNA from 1 species
GCAAGAGUUGGCUCUUUAUGAUCUUGCAGAAAUGAUUCGAUAUGUAAAUAAGAUCACUAAAGCAAAAAUUUUUGUAGUAGGACAUUCACAGGGAACAAUCAUGUCUCUUGCUGUUUUUACUAAGCCAGAUAUUGUGGAUAUGGUCAAAGCUGCAGCACUCCUUUGCCCUAUAUCAUAUUUGGAUCACAUCACCUCUGAUUUUGUGCUUAGAUUAGUCAAAAUACGUCUUGAUGAGGUAAUUCUUGCGUUGGGGAUCCAUCAACUUAAUUUUAAAAGUAAUAUGGGAACUCAAAUCAUGGAUAUGAUGUGCGAUGGGCAUAUUCACUGUGACAUCUGGCUUAGUGCUAUUACAGGCAAGAAUUGUUGUUUCAAUGAUUCACGGAUUGAUUUCUAUCUUGAAUAUGAACCUAACCCAUCAUCCUCGAAGAACUUGCAUCAUCUCUUUCAGAUGAUCCGUAAAGGGAGUUUUGCUAUGUAUGAUUAUGGAAUGUGGAAGAACCUCAUGCGCUAUAAACAACCAAAGCCCCCAGUAUUUGAUAUCAGCCAGAUCCCCACAUCAUUGCCAUUGUGGAUGGGUUAUGGGGGCAAUGAUGCGUUAGCAGAUGUCAUUGACGUCCAACAUACACUAAAGGGGUUGAAAUCCAAGCCAAAUCUGCUUUAUAUUGAGGAAUAUGGUCAUAUUGACUUCCUCCUGAGUACAAGGGUAAAAACAGAUGUUUAUAACGAUAUGAUUAGAUUUUUCAAUUCUGUACAAAAGGUUAGCAGUUUUAAAUAGUGGCUGAUUAGUAUGUCUCAUGUGUGGUGGCCCUGGCCUCUUCCUUGUCCAUACUCUAUAGUCUUGUACAUAGGAUGAUGAUGUAGCUCGUGCUACCUCUUUGGAUCCAAAUAGUUUCUGGCAAAUAAAGUGUGUAUAUAAAUCAUUACCAAUCAUUGUUGUAAAAGUGUGGUUUAAAAGUGUGCAGCUCUAUCAGUUCAGUUUUUAGGCAAACGCU